UCCAGAGUUUGUCCUGGCUCAGGACGAACGCUGGCGGCGUGCCUAAUACAUGCAAGUCGAGCGGACAGAUGGGAGCUUGCUCCCUGAUGUUAGCGGCGGACGGGUGAGUAACACGUGGGUAACCUGCCUGUAAGACUGGGAUAACUCCGGGAAACCGGGGCUAAUACCGGAUGCUUGAUUGAACCGCAUGGUUCAAUUAUAAAAGGUGGCUUUUAGCUACCACUUACAGAUGGACCCGCGGCGCAUUAGCUAGUUGGUGAGGUAACGGCUCACCAAGGCAACGAUGCGUAGCCGACCUGAGAGGGUGAUCGGCCACACUGGGACUGAGACACGGCCCAGACUCCUACGGGAGGCAGCAGUAGGGAAUCUUCCGCAAUGGACGAAAGUCUGACGGAGCAACGCCGCGUGAGUGAUGAAGGUUUUCGGAUCGUAAAACUCUGUUGUUAGGGAAGAACAAGUACCGUUCGAAUAGGGCGGUACCUUGACGGUACCUAACCAGAAAGCCACGGCUAACUACGUGCCAGCAGCCGCGGUAAUACGUAGGUGGCAAGCGUUGUCCGGAAUUAUUGGGCGUAAAGCGCGCGCAGGCGGUUUCUUAAGUCUGAUGUGAAAGCCCCCGGCUCAACCGGGGAGGGUCAUUGGAAACUGGGGAACUUGAGUGCAGAAGAGGAGAGUGGAAUUCCACGUGUAGCGGUGAAAUGCGUAGAGAUGUGGAGGAACACCAGUGGCGAAGGCGACUCUCUGGUCUGUAACUGACGCUGAGGCGCGAAAGCGUGGGGAGCGAACAGGAUUAGAUACCCUGGUAGUCCACGCCGUAAACGAUGAGUGCUAAGUGUUAGAGGGUUUCCGCCCUUUAGUGCUGCAGCAAACGCAUUAAGCACUCCGCCUGGGGAGUACGGUCGCAAGACUGAAACUCAAAGGAAUUGACGGGGGCCCGCACAAGCGGUGGAGCAUGUGGUUUAAUUCGAAGCAACGCGAAGAACCUUACCAGGUCUUGACAUCCUCUGACAACCCUAGAGAUAGGGCUUCCCCUUCGGGGGCAGAGUGACAGGUGGUGCAUGGUUGUCGUCAGCUCGUGUCGUGAGAUGUUGGGUUAAGUCCCGCAACGAGCGCAACCCUUGAUCUUAGUUGCCAGCAUUCAGUUGGGCACUCUAAGGUGACUGCCGGUGACAAACCGGAGGAAGGUGGGGAUGACGUCAAAUCAUCAUGCCCCUUAUGACCUGGGCUACACACGUGCUACAAUG
rnacentral:rRNA from 1 species